rnacentral:misc_RNA from 1 species
UCCCUGUUACCAGGGCAGUCUAGCUAGAGAAAUUCAACUAACUAUAAGGGUUGCGCUCGUUAAAGGACUUAACCUAACAUCUCACGACACGAGCUGACGACGGCCAUGCAUCACCUGUCACUGUAUUCCCGAAGGCACUCUCUACUUUCGUAGAAAUUCACAGGAUGUCAAACCUGGGUAAGGUUCUUCGCUUAGCAUCGAAUUAAACAACACGCUCCACCGCUUGUGCGGGUCCCCGUCAAUUCCUUUAUGUUUUAGUCUUGCGACCGUACUCCACAGGCGGGAUACUUAACGCGUUAGCUUCGCUACUAGAAGGGUCGAUACUUCUAACAGCUAGUAUCCAUAGUUUACGGCGUGGACUAC